rnacentral:snRNA from 1 species
GUGCUUGCUUUGGCAGCCCGUAUACUAAAAUUGGAAUGAUACAGAGAAGAUUAGCAUGG